ACAGUCCUUAGCUCAGCUGGUAGAGCAUGAGACUCUUAAUCUCAGGGUCCUGGGUUUGAGCAAAAGAUUGCUGCAUUGCAGGGGGUUGUA